CUGGUUAAUAGAGUUUCAGGUUAAUUAAAGACUGGAUAACAGGGAUUUUACUGUAUUACAAAUCUGAGCCUACUGCAGUCCUUGGGGUUUUGCCAUUGAGCUAACUUGCAGGCCUUUCAACUAUUUUUAUCCUCUAAAGGGUAUACACCACGUUGCAUUGAAGAGUUCUGUUUUUUGGCCCAGAUUCUGAUACCUCCUACCUAUUCUGAGUAGUACCUUACUUUACAGAGGGCGCCAAAGACUUAAUUUGCACAAUAGAUGACCCCAUUUAGCUACACGAGGGUGUGUGACCAGUGUGAACAGAACUGAGCUCAGCACAGGCAAAGUAACUUUCCUCUUGCUUUUGUAUCACUGGAAUUUGUCAUUGGCAAAAGCAAUAAUACAAGCAGCAGAAACCUAGGGUAGGUUCAGAGUUGCCAGCUCUCCUGGUUUUUUUGGCUGAAGUCGGAGCCAGUCUGGAAAUCACCAGAGAAGCAAAAUCUUUUCAGCAUUCGAACCAUGCCUGAGACAAACCUUUUUUAAUUGACUCCUUCAUCCACUUGCCUGCCUCCUAAGAAAGAGCAUCUCAUCAGGACUGCUGCUGGAAGCUCUGUCCUUUUGCCUAUGUAAGGCAGAAUCCCUCCAUGAGGAACGUCACUUGAAGCAGUGCUUUCUACAGCUGUACUACAAAUGCAGUAUGUCUACGUGUUUAUCAUCAAUUGGUGUGUAGGAGGGCAAGCUUGCAGUCACGUUGUUGCCUAGUACUUUCAGCUGCCAUGCUGGGGCCUACCUGUAGUGGGACACAUGUGACUUCCUUAUGACUUUCUUCUGCAUUGAUAUGCUGAGAAAGGAAAGAAACUUGCUCUUUCCUCACCUUACCCCAGUCUAAAAUAAUUCAGGUGGACUGAGAUAGCCAUAAUUUGACUUAUUUGCAAUAUUCAGUUAUUUUUACAAAAUUGUUCUAAACUUGGAGAGAAGCAAAUAACUUCUCCUUUAGGAGAAAGAAGAAGUUAAUAAUAAAAGUCAAGAAUGAAG
rnacentral:lncRNA from 1 species